rnacentral:misc_RNA from 1 species
GAAAUGCGAUAAGUAGUGUGAAUUGCAGAAUUCAGUGAAUCAUCGAAUCUUUGAACGCACAUUGCGCCCCUUGGUAUUCCAUGGGGCAUGCCUGUUCGAGCGUCAUCUACACCCUCAAGCUCUGCUUGGUGUUGGGCGUCUGUCCUGCCCCCGCGCGUGGACUCGCCCCAAAUCCAUUGGCAGCGUUCCUUGCCCCCUCUCGCGCAGCACAUUGCGCUUCUCGAGGGCGGCUCCGGGACGCGAUCCAGCAAGAUGACCACCGUCUUUGACCUCGGAUCAGGUAGGGAUACCCGCUGAACUUAAGC